AUUGAACGCUGGCGGCAUGCCUUACACAUGCAAGUCGAACGGUAACAGGUCUUCGGAUGCUGACGAGUGGCGAACGGGUGAGUAAUACAUCGGAACGUGCCUAGUAGUGGGGGAUAACUACUCGAAAGAGUGGCUAAUACCGCAUGAGAUCUACGGAUGAAAGCAGGGGAUCGCAAGACCUUGUGCUACUAGAGCGGCCGAUGGCAGAUUAGGUAGUUGGUGGGAUAAAAGCUUACCACGCCGACGAUCUGUAGCUGGUCUGAGAGGACGAUCAGCCACACUGGGACUGGGACACGGCCCAGACUCCUACGGGAGGCAGCAGUGUGGAAUUUUGGACAAUGGGCGCAAGCCUGAUCCAGCAAUGCCGCGUGCAGGAUGAAGGCCUUCGGGUUGUAAACUGCUUUUGUACGGAACGAAAAGCCCUGGGUUAAUACCCUGGGGUCAUGACGGUACCGUAAGAAUAAGCACCGGCUAACUACGUGCCAGCCGCCGCCGUAAAAC
rnacentral:rRNA from 1 species